rnacentral:rRNA from 1 species
GAUGAACGCUGGCGGCGUGCCUAAUACAUGCAAGUCGAGCGAACAGAUGAGGAGCUUGCUCCUCUGACGUUAGCGGCGGACGGGUGAGUAACACGUGGAUAACCUACCUAUAAGACUGGGAUAACUUCGGGAAACCGGAGCUAAUACCGGAUAAUAUAUUGAACCGCAUGGUUCAAUAGUGAAAGACGGUUUUGCUGUCACUUAUAGAUGGAUCCGCGCCGCAUUAGCUAGUUGGUAAGGUAACGGCUUACCAAGGCAACGAUGCGUAGCCGACCUGUGAGGGUGAUCGGCCACACUGGAGCUGAGACACGGUCCAGACUCCUACGGUACGCAGCAGUAGGGAAUCUUCCGCAAUGGGCGAAAGCCUGACGGAGCAACGCCGCGUGAGUGAUGAAGGUCUUCGGAUCGUAAAACUCUGUUAUUAGGGAAGAACAAAUGUGUAAGUAACUAUGCACGUCUUGACGGUACCUAAUCAGAAAGCCACGGCUAACUACGUG